CGGCAACAGCUCAAAUUUGAAAUCUGGCCUCUCGGGGUCCGAGUUGUAAUUUGUAGAGGAUGUUUUGGGUACCGCCCCGGUCUAAAUUUCUUGGAACAGAAUGUCAAAGAGGGUGAGAAUCCCGUCU
rnacentral:rRNA from 1 species